CGUGAGGGAAAGUUGAAAAGUACUUUGAAGAGAGAGUAAACAGUACGUGAAACCGCAUGCAGGUAAACGGGUGGCGUCAAGCUGCAAGCCCGGAGGAUUCAGCUGGCUAGGAUGUUGUGUAUGCGCCUGGCGCAUCUAUCAGCCGGAGUAAGAUGUGAUAGUCCACUGGUAAACGGUGGGCCCGGCCGCAAGGUUGGGAUAUGUGUACCGGGCGGAAGCCGGAGCAUGCUAUUCGUCUGUUGGGCUGUCUAGUCAGUGCACUUUCUCUGUGGUGAACACCACGACCGGUGGAAUUGCCAGUCUGCUGUAGUCAAGUCGUAUUCAGUCGGUUCUUGUAGCCAACUGGGUGCGAUCACAGGCAAACUCAGUAAACGGCGUAGGGGUGUCUCGGCAUCCUUGCGUGUUAUCGGCUGCUGGUUGUCAACGGGCCUGCCUGAUGAUUGUUGUAACCGUCAUUGGGUGGUCUGGUGGACUAUGGUGGUAAGAAUAACUGUGCAAGGCAUCGGAGUUCUCGGCCUCAAAUGCAUCCUGCAUACACGUUACAAGUGGAGUGGGGUGCCAUUGCAGCCUGCCUGUUGUUGGGUCUGAUUGUCGUGUCGCCUGCGCAAAGUGGGCCCGGCAGUGGCCUGAUGCGGGAUGGGUUGUGGAUGGUGCCUCCUGUGUAGGGUGCGGUGGGUCAAAUAGUCAGUGGUGUAGUGGUAGACGAGCUACCCGACCCGUCUUGAAA
rnacentral:rRNA from 1 species